GGGGUUCGAGGAGGGGCCCGCGGCCGAUUAGCUGGCUGGUGGGGUAAUGGCCUACCAGGGCCUCGAUCGGUAGCUGGUCUGAGAGGAUGAUCAGCCAGACUGGGACUGCGAACGGCCCAG
rnacentral:rRNA from 1 species